rfam:Lachancea thermotolerans CBS 6340 chromosome H complete sequence.
UCCGAUAUAGUGUAACGGUCAUCACAUCACGAUCAUUGUCCGUGAAGAACGGGGUUCGACUCCCCGCGUCGGUG